AAUAAAUCCUGAUGGUAAAUAUACGUCAAAUCAUCGUGGAUUGUCUUCCUUAUUCUGUACCACAGUUUGUAGGACUUUGCACCAAAGACCAACAAAACAGACUGAUAUAAUAUGAGGAACCAGUCGCCCAAAGAGAGUCGGGAUAGGCUCCAGCACACCUCGGCAUAGAAAAUGGAACUACUGGUGAUUGGGUGCUGUGACCUGCUAACAACUCUGACUCUGUUUAUCAUCUUAUAUUACCAUUCAUUAGUGGCUCUUAUCUGGAGAGGAGAGAUGAUUAAAUAGACUCCAGCACAAACAUCACCGUGCGGAGGAAUCACCCCCCCCGCCCUCCCUCCCCAGCCUGAGCUGAACUGGUUCUCGCCGGUCUGAUGUGGCGCACGGCUGUAUGAGGGAAACCCAGGGAGGCGUGAUCACAUCCUUGUGUGAGUAAUACUGCCCCUUUUCAAAGAGCAUGUAUCAUCAGAACAAAGAGCAAACAAAAGAAUGCAAGCUAGAAAUGUGCUAAGCGUAUGCUUUAUUAGGAAGAAUUUAGGCCGGGUUAUGACUCAUAACUACGAUCAUAUAUUGAUCAACUUGAUGAGUUCUGUUUAUAUUACAUUUCUGGAUAUGUUCAAAUAUAUUUCCGCUUAUGUCCAAACUUUUUGAUAUACAGUACUAUAUAUAUUUUUAGAUUUAUAUUACUAUGUACAGUAUAUUCAAUAUAAUAAAAUAUAUAUUAUAUUCAUUUUUAUUUUAUUUUAUGAAGUACUUAGGUGACAAAUGAUAUAUCUGAUUAAUAAUGAUUUUUUUUUAAUUUUUAGAAUAUGCAA